AGUAACGGCGAGUGAAGCGGCAAAAGCUCAGAUUUGAAAUCUCUUUAUUUUAUAAAGCGAGUUGUAAUCUGUAGAAGGUUGAAUGGCUGAAUAACUGAUUUAAGUUCCCUGGAAUAGGACAUCAUAGAGGGUGAGAAUCCCGUGAUUAUCAGUAGCUACGCCAAUUAAUUCACCUUUCGACGAGUCGAGUUGUUUGGGAAUGCAGCUCUAAAUGGGUGGUAAAUUUCAUCUAAAGCUAAAUACCUGCCAGAGACCGAUAGCGAACAAGUAGAGUGAUCGAAAGAUGAAAAGCACUUUGAAAAGAGAGUUAAAUAGUACGUGAAAUUGUUGAAAGGGAAGCGCUUGCGAUUAGACUUGAUAUUCCAAUUCAGCUUGCUCACGGGCAAGUGUACUUUUGAUUUAUCAGGCCAGCAUCAGUUUGGAGAGCUUUAUAAAGAUAUUAGGAAUGUAGCAACCACUUCGGUGGUUGUGUUAUAGACUAGUAUGUCAUAGAGUUACACCAGACUGAGGUCUGCCCUUCGGGAAGGAUGCUGGCAUAAUGAUCGUAAGCGACCCGUCUUGAAACACGGACCAAGGAGUCGACCUAUUAAGCGAGUGUUUGAGUGUAAAACUCACACGCGUAAUGAAAGUGAACGGAGGUGCGAAGCGCAAGCUGCAGCAUCGACCGAUCCUGAAGUUUACGGAUGGAUUUGAGUAUGAGCUGAAUGGGUCGGACCCGAAAGAUGGUGAUCUAUGCGUGAAUAGGGUGAAGCCAGAGGAAACUCUGGUGGAGGCUCGCAGCGGUUCUGACGUGCAAAUCGAUCGUCAAAUCUGCGCAUAGGGGCGAAAGACUAAUCGAACCAUCAAAGCACAACUAGGUGGUUAAUUGGAAAAAGUCCCAGACAAGUGAUAAAAUGAUUUUCAUACAUUGCUUCUUUGGUGGCUACACUAUCAUUCAUCAUGCAAUUUCUUUUCUUCUCAGUGAUUAAAAGAAGUAUAUGAUUCAAUUUGUUUAUUAUGAUAAGUUGAUCACAGGCCAGAUGAUAGUGGCUGAAUGAAAAGGCAAUAAUUCCAUUUCCUCAGUUUUGACAUGGUCGAGCUAAAUUCUUGAUUCUGAAUUUAAAAAAAGAAUUUUAAUCAGCGCUAGUAGCUGGUUCCUGCCAAAUUUCCCUCAGGAUAG
rnacentral:rRNA from 1 species